UACGUAGGGUGCGAGCGUUACUCGGAAUUACUGGGCGUAAAGUGUGCGCAGGCGGCCGCGCAAGUCGAGUGUGAAAGCCCCGGGCUUAACUUGGGAAUUGCGCUCGAAACUACUUGGCUGGAGUGUGGCAGAGGAAGGUGGAAUUCCAGGUGUAGCGGUGAAAUGCGUAGAUAUCUGGAGGAACACCGGUGGCGAAGGCGACAUCCUGGACCGGUAUUGACGCUGAGGCGCGAAAGCCAGGGGAGCAAACAGG
rnacentral:rRNA from 1 species